UACGUAGGGGCCGAGCGUUGUCCGGAGUUAUUGGGCGUAAAGCGCGCGCAGGCGGCUUCGCGCGUCCGACGUGAAAGCCCCCGGCUCAACCGGGGAGGGUCGUUGGGUACGGCGGAGCUUGAGGGCGGUAGAGGUUGGUGGAAUUCCCGGUGUAGUGGUGAAAUGCGUAGAGAUCGGGAGGAACACCUGUGGCGAAGGCGGCCAACUGGGCCGACCCUGACGCUGAGGCGCGAAGGCGUGGGGAGCGAACGGGG
rnacentral:rRNA from 1 species